AGGGAAUCUUUUGGCUGUCGGUAGGUGGCUAAAAUGGUUUGUCCCCCAGCCACCAGGUGUCGCGAGUGUCUUCGUGAGGACGAUAAAUUUGUCAUUUGUUUCCGAAACGCUGACUGAAAGUGUAUCAUUCAUUACGGAAUUGCGGUGUCGAUCUACAUUUUCAGACAUGAAAUGGCAAUCUGGCAUAUAAUUUUACUUGCCCAAAUAAUGUGACGACGUGGGUCGAAACUGCUGUCCAAUGUCGGCCAUUGUUUGCUGUACCUAUACGGCUGCACAUCUCAUCUCGUGCAGAAAUACUUCAGAGGUAGUUGGAGAAGGAGAUUCCUUUGCUCAACUGUUGCAGAAAUUGAGAACACGACAAAGGCUGAGCUUCAUGGCUGUUGUAUCAUAAACAGUUUUUUUGCAGCCAGCUGGUGAAAGGUGUGAUCAAGUCAAGUUGAGCUGCAGUUGCUGUAUGCAGUUU